rnacentral:rRNA from 1 species
AGCGAACGCUGGCGGCAGGCCUAACACAUGCAAGUCGAACGAACUCUUCGGAGUUAGUGGCGGACGGGUGAGUAACACGUGGGAACGUGCCUUUAGGUUCGGAAUAACUCAGGGAAACUUGUGCUAAUACCGGAUGUGCCCUUCGGGGGCAAGAUUUAUCGCCUUUAGAGCGGCCCGCGUCUGAUUAGCUAGUUGGUGAGGUAAAGGCUCACCAAGGCGACGAUCAGUAGCUGGUCUGAGAGGAUGACCAGCCACAUUGGGACUGAGACACGGCCCAAACUCCUACGGGAGGCAGCAGUGGGGAAUCUUGCGCAAUGGGCGAAAGCCUUACGCAGCCAUGCCGCGUGAAUGGUGAAGGUCUUAGGAUUGUAAAAUUCUUUCACCGGGGACGAUAAUGACGGUACCCGGAGAAGAAGCCCCGGCUAACUUCGUGCCAGCCGCCGCCGUAACAC